rnacentral:rRNA from 1 species
GUCCACGCUGUAAACGAUGGAUACUUGUUGUUGGAGGUAUUGACCCCUUCAGUGACGAAGCUAACGCGUUAAGUAUCCCGCCUGGGGAGUACGGUCGCAAGAUUAAAACUCAAAGAAAUUGACGGGGGCCCGCACAAGCGGUGGAGUAUGUGGUUUAAUUCGAUGCAACGCGAAGAACCUUACCUAGGCUUGACAUGUACUGGAAGAGUGGCAGAGAUGUCCUCGCUCGCAAGAGUCGGUACACAGGUGCUGCAUGGCUGUCGU